UACGGGGGGAGCAAGCGUUGUUCGGAUUUACUGGGCGUAAAGGGCGCGUAGGCGGCGCAACAAGUCACUUGUGAAAUCUCCGGGCUUAACUCGGAGCGGCCAAGUGAUACUGUCGUGCUAGAGUGCGGAAGGGGCUACUGGAAUUCUCGGUGUAGCGGUGAAAUGCGUAGAUAUCGAGAGGAACACCUGCGGCGAAGGCGGGUAGCUGGGCCGACACUGACGCUGAGGCGCGAAGGCCAGGGGAGCAAACGGG
rnacentral:rRNA from 1 species